rnacentral:piRNA from 1 species
UGAAAUGUGUCAGAACUAAAA